UACGGAGGGUGCAAGCGUUACUCGGAAUCACUGGGCGUAAAGCGCGCGCAGGCGGCUAGAUAAGUUGGAAGUGAAAUCCUAUGGCUCAACCAUAGAACUGCUUCCAAAACUGUUUAGCUAGAGUCUGGGAGGGGAAGAUGGAAUUAGUAGUGUAGGGGUAAAAUCCGUAGAGAUUACUAGGAAUACCAAAAGCGAAGGCGAUCUUCUGGAACAGUACUGACGCUGAGGCGCGAAAGCGUGGGGAGCAAACAGGAUUAGAUACCCUGGUAGUCCACGCCCUAAACGAUGAAUGUUAGUCGUCGGGACUCUAGUAGUUUCGGUGAUGCAGUUAACACAUUAAACAUUCCGCCUGGGGAGUACGGUCGCAAGAUUAAAACUCAAAGGAAUAGACGGGGACCCGCACAAGUGGUGGAGCAUGUGGUUUAAUUCGAAGAUACGCGAAGAACCUUACCUAGCCUUGACAUAUUUUAGAACUCCGCAGAGAUGUAGAGGUGCCUUCGGGAGCUAAUAUACAGGUGCUGCACGGCUGUCGUCAGCUCGUGUCGUGAGAUGUUGGGUUAAGUCCCGCAACGAGCGCAACCCUCGUUCUUAGUUACUAACGGUUCGGCCGAGGACUCUAAGAAGACUGCCUUCGUAAGGAGGAGGAAGGUGAGGACGACGUCAAGUCAUCAUGGCCCUUACGGCUAGGGCAACACACGUGCUACAAUGGUUAGGACAAUGAGACGCAAUACCGCGAGGUGGAGCAAAUCUAUAAACCUAAUCUCAGUUCGGAUUGUAGUCUGCAACUCGACUACAUGAAGCUGGAAUCACUAGUAAUCGUAGAUCAGCUAUGCUACG
rnacentral:rRNA from 1 species